CCUACGGGAGGCAGCAGUGAGGAAUAUUGGUCAAUGGGCGUGAGCCUGAACCAGCCAAGCCGCGUGAAGGAAGAAGGCUCUAUGGAUCGUAAACCUCUUUUGUCGGGGAACAAAGGGUGGCACGCGUGCUGUUGUGAGUGUACCUGAUGAAUAAGGAUCGGCUAACUCCGUGCCAGCAGCUGCGGUAAUACGGAGGAUCCGAGCGUUAUCCGGAUUUAUUGGGUUUAAAGGGUGCGUAGGCCGCCUGGAAAGCCGGCGGUAAAAGCCCGGGGCUCAACCCCGGCGAGCCGUGGGAACUGUCGGACUUGAGACGGCGGAAAGCACGCGGAAUGCGCGGUGUAGCGGUGAAAUGCAUAGAUAUGGCGCAGAACUCCGAUUGCGAAGGCAGCUCGC
rnacentral:rRNA from 1 species